rnacentral:misc_RNA from 1 species
GAACGCACAUUGCGCCCCUUGGCAUUCCGAGGGGCAUGCCUGUUCGAGCGUCAUUGUAAAAUCUCAAGCCUCUUGCUUGGUGUUGGGUCUUCGUCCCUCCCCCAUGAAAGGGGGGGGCUGGACGUGCCUGAAAAUCAGUGGCGGUGCCACGAUGGUCUCAAGCGUAGUAGACUCUCUCUCGCUUUGGAUGGCUUGUCGUGCGGCUCACCAGCCUCAUCAUAGAUGAACUUCUGAAAAGGUUUGACCUCGGAUCAGGUAGGGAUACCCGCUGAACUUAAG